CCUAAUCGUGACCCUGAGUCCGUUUCUGAUCUUUUUUUUUUGUUCCUGAUUGUCUUCUCCACUGCAAGCUCCUCCACGAUCGAAAUUUUAAUCCUAACCCUAAUCUGCAACCCUAAGCCUAACUCUGAUACUAACACUGACUAUGACCCUGACCCUAACCCUAAUCUAACCCUAACCCUAAUCAUAUCUCCAAACCUAACUCCAACACAAACCCUAAACCUAAUCCUAACCCAACCCUUAAUACUACUCCUCACAUCUAACACUAACCCUAACCUGAUCAACCCCAUUCCACAAUCCCCUAACUUGCUAACCCUAACCCUAACCUACAAUCCUAAUCCUAAUC
rnacentral:lncRNA from 1 species